rnacentral:rRNA from 1 species
UUGCCCUAGUACGGCGAGUGAACAGGCAAGAGCUCAGAUUUGAAAGGCACUUUUGUGCCGUUGUAUUCUGAAGUUAGGGUCCUGAGAAACGAUGCUUAAGUCUUCUGGAAAGGAGCGCCAUGGAGGGUGAUAGCCCCGUCUAGCAUUGACCUCAUAUAGGAUCUUAACAUGGAGUCGAGUUGUUUGGGAAUGCAGCUCAAAUGGGUGGUAUGCUCCAUCUAAAGCUAAAUAUCUGCGAGAGACCGAUAGUAAACAAGUACUGUGAGGGAAAGAUGAAAAGAACUUUGAAAAGAGAGUGAAAAAGUACGUGAAAUUGUUGAAAUGGAAGGGUAGGCCGCUAACCAUGUAGAGCCGUGUUUGGGGGGAAGAUAAAUGCUGUAGAAUGUAGCUCCUCGGAGUAUUAUAGAUGCAGUUCAUAUUCCCACCCGAGCGCGAGGAUCUCAGGUUCUACUAAAUGGUGGUCUACCACCCGUCUUGA